rnacentral:lncRNA from 1 species
GCUGGAGGAGCCGGGAGCCUGGGAAAUGGAAUACCUCCACAUAACCAAGAUGCUGAGUUCCUCUCUGAGCCCGCAAAAUGGCACCUGGUCAGAUGCCAUCUCUCUGCUCUUAGCUCUUGGCAUUGCUCUCUACUUGGGCUACUACUGGGCAUGUGUGCCCCAGGUGGGUGAGAGCCGAGCUCUGGCCGGCGUGCUUGGGAUUCUAGAGUGGAUGGGGGUAAUAUCCAGCCUGGGCUCGAACCCUUUCUGAAAGCUUGGGUAGUUGGUUCUGCGGUGCCAUGUGACUUUUGCUAUUACGACCUACUGGAGAGCCGUUUCUGCCUCUUUUAGAUUCUUGGAACCCCGCUAG